rnacentral:rRNA from 1 species
CCUACGGGAGGCAGCAGUAGGAAAUCUUCCACAAUGGGCGAAAGCCUGAUGGAGCAACGCCGCGUGGGUGAAGAAGGUCUUCGGAUCGUAAAACCCUGUUGUUAGAGAAGAAAGUGCGUGAGAGUAACUGUUCACGUUUCGACGGUAUCUAACCAGAAAGCCACGGCUAACUACGUGCCAGCAGCCGCGGUAAUACGUAGGUGGCAAGCGUUAUCCGGAUUUAUUGGGCGUAAAGGGAACGCAGGCGGUCUUUUAAGUCUGAUGUGAAAGCCUUCGGCUUAACCGGAGUAGUGCAUUGGAAACUGGGAGACUGGAGUGCAGAAGAGGAGAGGGGAACUCCAUGUGUAGCGGUGAAAUGCGUAGAUAUAUGGAAGAACACCAGUGGCGAAAGCGGCUCUCUGGUCUGUAACUGACGCUGAGGUUCGAAAGCGUGGGUAGCAAACAGGAUUAGAUACCCUAGUAGUC